GGACGAACGCUGGCGGCGUGCCUAAUACAUGCAAGUCGAACGAACGGAGGAAGAGCUUGCUCUUCCAAAGUUAGUGGCGGACGGGUGAGUAACACGUGGGCAACCUGCCUGUAAGUUGGGGAUAACUCCGGGAAACCGGGGCUAAUACCGAAUGAUAAAGUGUGGCGCAUGCCAYGCUUUUGAAAGAUGGUUUCGGCUAUCGCUUACAGAUGGGCCCGCGGUGCAUUAGCUAGUUGGUAGGGUAAUGGCCUACCAAGGCAACGAUGCAUAGCCGACCUGAGAGGGUGAUCGGCCACACUGGGACUGAGACACGGCCCAGACUCCUACGGGAGGCAGCAGUAGGGAAUCUUCCGCAAUGGACGAAAGUCUGACGGAGCAACGCCGCGUGUAUGAAGAAGGUUUUCGGAUCGUAAAGUACUGUUGUUAGAGAAGAACAAGGAUAAGAGUAACUGCUUGUCCCUUGACGGUAUCUAACCAGAAAGCCACGGCUAACUACGUGC
rnacentral:rRNA from 1 species